rnacentral:misc_RNA from 1 species
UGGUUCUGGCAUCGAUGAAGAACGCAGCGAAAUGCGAUAAGUAAUGCGAAUUGCAGAAUUCCAGUGAGUCAUCGAAUCUUUGAACGCACAUUGCGCCCUUUGGUAUUCCGAAGGGCAUGCCUGUUCGAGCGUCAUUACCACCCCUCAAGCCCCGUGCUUGGUGUUGGACGGCCGGUCGAGGUUCGCCCCGACCCCUCCUAAAGACAAUGACGGCGGCCUGUGGUUCCCCCGGUACACUGAGCUUUUCGCAGAGCACGUACCGGACGAGGGCGCCCGGGUCACGGUUCCCUCCUCCCCGUGAGGGAAUAUUUUCAAGGUUGACCUCGGAUCAGGUAGGAAUACGCGCUGG